UCGCCGAGCUGGCCGGGCGGCGCGUGGACCGGCUCUCCGGGGGCCAGACGCAGCGGGUGCGGUUCGCGGUCGCGCUCGUCGGG
rnacentral:tRNA from 1 species